UGCGAUUACCACAUUCACAGUCAUUUAUAUCAGCAAGCGGAGAGCCAUAUACAUCAUAAACUUAAUAAGCACAUUUUAAUAAACUAAACCAUUUUAAAGAGGUUAUUUUAGAUAGAAAAUCUUGUUCUUGCCGAAGAAUAAAUAAAAUAUGUUUCACGUUCAAAUACAUAUUUCAAGUCUGGACUUCAGAUAUGUGUAUCAAGACAACCCCGUUAUUCCGAUACACCCAUGUUACGACAUACUUUUAUUCAACAGUCUGAUAUAUAAAGACAAGGGUUAAUAGUUGUGUCAUAAGAAUGUCAACUUGUAGAGUUUAAUCAAUAUUCCAGAAAAAAAGAACCAUUUAUUUAUUUCAAAAUUCCAAAACUAGAAAACCGAGCAGCUCAUUUGUCGUCCUGAAUAUGCAUGGCAUUUUUGGCUACUUGAUUUACCAUUGUUUAAACAAGGCAAAGUCAGUGACUUGCUAUUGGGAAACCAAACAGGCCUUUGAAACUGCGAUGCUAUAUGUUCUCAGAUAUGACGAUUCUAUGACAGUGUCGUGGGAACUAAAACAUGGAACAAAACCUAUUUCAAAAUAUAAAUUGCCAAAAUGUGUUGAUGACGCUUUAAUAAUUUGCGUCCAUGUCUACUCCUUCUAAAAUUGUAAUAACUGUGUUUGAAUACUAACAUCAAAGUUUUAAAAGAGAUCAAAGUCGAAAUUUCGAUUGUAAAAAAAAUCGAAAUUUUG
rnacentral:lncRNA from 1 species